rnacentral:ncRNA from 1 species
UAUCUUUGCCAUCGCUUUAAUUAGCGAAUACAUAACAAUCAUUGAAAUAAUAUUAGCAUG